CCGAUUCGAGAGACGAAAAAAGGAAAAAUGAAUUUCCUCCUAGUUACAGGCGCCAUCUUAAUAACCUUAAUAAAAGUAGGAAAGGAAACACACUAAUGCGCGAAAAGCGAUUAGCUCUAACCGGAGUUACGGGCCACAAGAUACAUACACUCGGAAAGAUAAGAGCAAUGAUAACGCUAAGAGACCGAGAGCUACGACAUAUUAUGUAUGUGGUGAGAGAUGACUUCCCCAUAAACUAUGAACUAUAAGGGAAUAUUGGGACUAGAUUUUUUAAACAAGCAGCAAGCAAAAUGCCACAGCAAAAAACAAAAUCCGUAUUGGCAACGUUUUAAACUUUACCCGUAUAAGAAAAUCGUGCUAACACCUCGCAGCGAAACAAUAAUCCAGGCAGUAACCGAUCGAAAUAGUAAACGCAUCGGAAUAGUAAACGCAGUCGAAACUAAACUCGGAGUGUUCAUAGAAAAUUGUUUGAUUUUCAGAAGAAAAUGUGUUCCCAAUAAGUGUAAUAAAUACUACGGAAGAAUCCGUAGAGAUAACAACGCCUCUCAUCACGGUGGAUGAGAUAAAGAGACGCCACACACAUGCAUACCGUGGAGGUGUCAAGUAACCACGCGAGCGGCGAACUCAUUCAGACUCUUCAAGAGAAAUUGUGCAAACUAUUGCGAACAGAGCAUUUAAAUGACGAGGAAAGGAAAGCCUUACACCAGAUUUGCAAAGAUUUUUGUGAUAUUUUCCAUCUAGAAAACGACUGCUUAUCGCAACACGAACUUGACUGUUCACCAUAGCACACGAAAUUAACACACGGACAGAUAGUGUGCCGGUGAAUGUUCGACCGUAUAAAUUGCCGGAGAAGCACAAGGCAAAAAUAAAUAAGCAGAUAGCGAAAAUGUUGGAGGACGAGAUAAUCCGCCCCAGCACGAGUCAUUGGAACGCGCCUUUACUAGUAGUACCGAAGAAAUUAGACGCUUCUGGAGAACGAAAAUUACGAAUAGUUAUAGAUUCUCGGAAACGAUUUAACAAUUGGUUUAACAACUCUUUCCCGCUCCCAAACAUCACUGACAUAUUAGAUCAACUAGGAAACGCGAAAUAUUUUACAACGUUGGAUUUAGCAUCAGAAUAUUAUCAAAUUUCCAUGCAUGAGGAACACAAAAAAAAACGUUUUCCACAACCUAUGGACAUUACGAGUUUAAUAGAAUGUCCUUUGGACUAAAAAAUGCGCCUGCAACAUUUCAGAGACUUAUGAAUUCCAUGCUAACCGGAUUACAAGGCCUCGAAAGUCUAUCUGGAUGACAUCAUAAUAUAUGAACCAAAUUUAAAAGAACAUAACAAAAGACUAAUUGAAGUAUUCAAAAAAUUAAGAAACUACAACCGAAUAAAUGCUCUUAAGAAAAGAGGUGACAUAUCUAGGUCACAUUAUUUCCGAAAAUGGUAUAAUUCCGGAUCCAUCAAAAAUAACGGCCAUAACGAACUUUCUAGUACCCAAAAAGAUAAAAAACGUGCAAUCCUUCAUAGGAUUAGCCGAUUAUUAUAGAAGAGAAUUCAUCGAGAAUUUUUCGAAGAUAGCGAAGUCACUGACAAAAUUAACAAAAAAAUUCACUUGAACGGCAGAGCAACAAAACGCAUUCGAAACGUUAAAAGAGAGGCUAACGACCGCGCCAGUUCUAGCUUACCCUGAUUUUACUAAACAAUUUAUAUUAACGACAGACGCAUCCGGUUAUGCCAUCGGAGCGAUAUUGUCGCAAGGACCAGUAGGCCAAGACCGACCAAUUGUUUACGCGAGCAGAAUAAAGCGAAACAGAACUAUAACACAACAGAGAAAGAAUUGCUAGCCAUAGUAUGGGCCGUCAAACACUUCCGGAACGAAAUUUCAAAUAGUUACAAAUUAUAAGCCAUUGAUCUGGCUAUUUAGUAUAACAGAUCCUGGCUUGCGAUUAAUCAGAGAUGGAGACUCAAAUUAGAAGAGUACGACUAUGAGGUGAUACAUAAGACCGGCAAAGGCAACACAAAUGUUGACGGGCUCAGCAGAAAUCCGAUCGCGCCCGACACAUAGAUAAAUAACGUCGAAUGUAACAAGGAAGAGCGUGAAUAUAACAAAGAGGAAAAAGAGCAAAUAAUAUCAUAAUGUCCCCUUCGGAGGACAUCAAGGGGUAACACGCACAGUAAAUUAGAUACGAUUAACACACAACUGGCACGGAUUAACAAGAGACAUGGAAGAAUACAUCGCCAAGUGCGAAUAUUGCCAAAAAAACAAACUGAGCAGGAAAACUAAAAUGCCUCUGAUAUUGAGCGACACGGCGGAAAAAUCGUUUGAAAAAUGCGCUCUAGAUAUUGUGGAACCAUUCACGGUCACCAUGAAAGGAAAUAAAUAUCUAUUAACAUUUCAGGAUGACUUAACAAAAUUCAGUAAAACGAUACUGAUCAGGAAGCAAGCACAAUUGCCAAAGAAUUCACUACGAAAAUAAUAUGCGAAUUCGGAAUACCGGAAAAAGUACUGACAGAUCAAGGAACGAACUUCGUCAGUGAGAUGUCAGUGAGAUGUUCAGGGAUGUAUGCACCCUUCUAAAAAUAAUAAAAAUCCAAACGACCGCGUAUUAUCCUGAAAGCAACGAGGCCCUAGAGAGGACUUUGACUGAAUAUUUAAGACACUAUAUAAACGAAGAUCAAACUAAUGGGAUGAAUGGAUCCCAUACGCGAUGUUCACGUACAAUACCGCAUACAGCAACGGAUUAUACACCGUUCGAAUUGUACAGGCACCAAGCAAUUCUGCCUACGGCCCUGACAACGCCGCCUAAACCAUACUACAUGUAUGACAACUAUGCGCAAGAAUUAAGAGACCGACUCCGAGUCACACAAAAAUUAGCGAAAGAACAUAUCCGCGAGACAAAACAAAAGGCAAAAAACUAUGCCGAUAAGAAUACGAACACUAAAACCUUCAAAGUAAGAGAUAAGAUCCUCCUGCACGACGAAGCAGAAGACGAUCGAAGAAAUUGGAAGCACCAUGGAUAGGCCCAUAAAUAAUUGAGAAAAUCUCAGAUGUUAAUUAUAAAAUUAAACAAAAACGAAAAAUCGUAACGAUGCACGCAAACUGACUCAAACUAUUCAUCGAAAGCUAAGGAAACGACCGCGAAUAAUUACCCGCGAAAAGCAAAAGCAUUAAUAAUAAAAAUAGUAUAAAAUUAGAAUUAGUAAAGAAGAAAUACAGUACUCAUUAAUCACGACGAGGCAGGAUGGCGACGACCCGAUACAAAUUCAUACCCGCAGAGGGUCGCGGAGGUAACGCUCCUCAAGGACGAACGGAGAGGGCGCCUGAGACCUCUCCUGGACACAUACCCGUGCGAAGGAGUACAGGAAUGAUACUCUUUGGUCCAGAUGACCGUAGACGGCCACCUGGACAUCACCCUAGUCGCCAGCCGUUGCGCCGCCAGACGGUACGACCGCCGCACGCAUUGCAAAUAAGAGGGAUAUAUUCUCUACUACAUACAACGCAUUGCAUAUCCUGAAUUUUUUUUCUUUUCCCUUUUACUAAACGACGCGCAAUAGGCCAGGGUGACAGACCCUAUACCAGGACGGCAGACUGAUAAAAUAAUUUAUUAAACAUCUCACACAAAAAAUGCAUGGAUUCACAGAAGUAAUUUAAGUCUUAAGUUAUUUGUACGAAUAGCUCAAACGUCAAAGUGCAUAAACUAUUAAAAUGGCGCAUGGAAAUAUUAGAGAAAAUAUUGCUGAAAUAUUAGAGCUGGAAGAAAUAAUGGAUAUAUGAUCGACGAUGAUGAAAUGCUACAAUUCUUACGAUUAGCAUUAAUACAAUGUGUUCAUCGUAUUAAAGUUAACAUUAAUACAUAAUACAUAAUUACAUAGAAACUGUAGUCCGAAAUUAUAUUGAAAAAGAUUUUGUAAUGCAUUUUCGUUUAUCUCGUGCAAUUGUUUAUAAUCUCCCGUUUUACAAUAUCUCCAAUUUUUACGUCUUUACAAGGUAUUUUAUUAUUUAUAGUAAAUAUAAAAUGUAUUAUUAAU